UUUCUCCUACGGGGCGCAGCAGUGAGGAAUAUUGGUCAAUGGGCGCGGGCCUGAACCAGCCAAGUCGCGUGAGGGAAGACGGUCCUAUGGAUUGUAAACCUCUUUUGUCGGGGAGCAAAAGACGCCACGCGUGGCGUUCCGAGAGUACCCGAAGAAAAAGCAUCGGCUAACUCCGUGCCAGCAGCCGCGGUAAUACGGAGGAUGCGAGCGUUAUCCGGAUUUAUUGGGUUUAAAGGGUGCGCAGGCGGAAGAUCAAGUCAGCGGGAAAAUUGAGAGGCGCAACCUCUUCGAGCCGGUGAAACUGG
rnacentral:rRNA from 1 species